rnacentral:sRNA from 2 species
GAAAACUUGUCGCCGAAGCCGCUCGCCGUGUUCGGGUUUUGAGGAUAACGAGACGGGCGGCGCGGGGGAACCAGAGUCCUCUUUUUUUCGGGAGGACGCGGGGCGUAUCGUAUGCGCUCGGACGCGCGAACAUUCUCGCUCGGAGAGCAUGCGAUGGAUACUUCCUCAAUCCAAGCCCGUCAGCUAACCUCGUAGGCAAUAGAGGGAAGGGCA